GAACGCGUGGAGCAUGUGGCUUAAUUUGACUCAACGCGGGGAAUCUUACUAGGUCCGGACCGAGUCUAUGAACGUCGUACCGUUGGGUGCUACGUGAUUACUGGAUGAGUGGUGCAUGGCCGUUCUUAGUUCGUGGUGUUAAUUGUCUACUUAAUUGUUUCGGCCAUGUAUCUCUCAGUACAGUCCUUACAACGAACGAGAUCGAGACCCGUGGUUGCGUUGUGUUUGAAUUCGGUAUUACUACGGGGAUCGCGUAAUUACUCAACGGUACGAUCGAAAGACUCGGCAAUAACAGGUCUGUGAUGCCCUCAGAUGUUCUAGGCUGCACACGUGCUACAUUGUGAGUUGUAGUAUAUUGUGUAUGCGUAGAUAUGUCUAAGAUCCCCCGCAUCGAGUCUCAAUUACUCACGUGGUUGGACUCACCGAUUGUUGUAAUUAUUCGGUAUACUAACUAGGAAUGCCUCRWACGGGA
rnacentral:rRNA from 1 species